rnacentral:rRNA from 1 species
GAUGAACGCUGGCGGCGUGCCUAAUACAUGCAAGUCGAGCGAACGGACGAGAAGCUUGCUUCUCUGAUGUUAGCGGCGGACGGGUGAGUAACACGUGGAUAACCUACCUAUAAGACUGGGAUAACUUCGGGAAACCGGAGCUAAUACCGGAUGAUAUUUUGAACCGCAUGGUUCAAAAGUGAAAGACGGUCUUGCUGUCACUUAUAGAUGGAUCCGCGCUGCAUUAGCUAGUUGGUAAGGUAACGGCUUACCAAGGCAACGAUGCAUAGCCGACCUGAGAGGGUGAUCGGCCACCCUGGAACUGAGACCCGGUCCAGACUCCUACGGGAGGCAGCAGUAGGGAAUCUUCCGCAAUGGGCGAAAGCCUGACGGAGCAACGCCGCGUGAGUGAUGAAGGUCUUCGGAUCGUAAAACUCUGUUAUUAGGGAAGAACAUAUGUGUAAGUAACUGUGCACAUCUUGACGGUACCUAAUCAGAAAGCCACGGCUAACUACGUG